rnacentral:rRNA from 1 species
CCUACGGGAGGCAGCAGUGGGGAAUAUUGCGCAAUGGGCGAAAGCCUGACGCAGCGACGCCGCGUGAGGGCUGAAGGUUUUCGGAUCGUAAACCUCUGUCAGCAGGGAAGAACGGUCACUGUGCUAAUCAGCAGUGAAUUGACGGUACCUGCAAAGGCAGCACCGGCUAACUCCGUGCCAGCAGCCGCGGUAAUACGGAGGGUGCGAGCGUUAAUCGGAAUUACUGGGCGUAAGGGGCUCGUAGGCGGUAUGUCAAGUCAAGGGUGAAAUCCCCGCGCUCAACGUGGGAACUGCCUUUGAAACUGGCAAACUGGAGUGUGGGAGAGGAUAGUGGAAUUCCAGGUGUAGGAGUGAAAUCCGUAGAUAUCUGGAGGAAAAUCAGUGGCGAAGGCGACUAUCUGGAACAUAACUGACGCUGAGGAGCGAAAGCGUGGGUAGCAAACAGGAUUAGAUACCCGGGUAGUC